GCCAGGCAUGGUGGUGCAUGCCUGUAAUCCCAGCAACUCUGAAGGCUGAGACAGGAGUUCAAAGCCAGCCUCAGCAACUUAGCAAGGUCCUAAGCAACUGAGACCCUGUCUCAA
rnacentral:sRNA from 1 species